rnacentral:tRNA from 4 species
GCAGAUGUGUUGGAAUUGGCAGACAAGCAUGAUUGAGGGUCAUGUGAGCGUUAGCUCGUGUGGGUUCGAGUCCCAUCAUCUGCACUAC